AUGUAUGGGGCAAAGGACCCUCUUGACGAUGUACAGUUUGGGAAAGGCCAGGCAGAGAGCGGGCUGAUCUUUGAGGAUCUUCUCUGUGGGUGCCCCUGCAUGCAACUCUUCUCCCCAGACAGAGGCCCAGAAUCGGGGUCUUCCUUCACAAAUAAGCCAGGUUCCAGGAGUGCUGCAGUUACCACCCAGGUGCAAGCCCAGCACAGGCCUCCUCUCAGCCAGCACUCAUCCGAAUCCACUCACACAUUCAGGUGGUUGUCCUCCUCGGUGAACUGGGAAGCAAUAAAGUCAAAAACAAAUACUGGAUGGCAGGAACAGUCAGGUUCUGGGACAGCUGGAGACAGUGGUGGUGACAGGAAUAACUUUACCAAAGGAAAGCUAUUUAGUGAACUGUCCUCUCCGGUAGAGUUGGCCAAUGUGCUUUGUAACAGAGCCAGACUGGUUUCCUAUCUCCCAGGAUUUUGCUCUUCAGUUAAAACGUUGUCAAUCCCAAAGACUUUUCGACUGCAGGAUCAUCAGGUUCGGAUGAGUCUCACGUGGCCACUGCACCUCCAGAUGUAUGCUCUCAAACAGUGUGGCCUGAUGAAACUGUGGGACCAUUUGGACCUCAAGAUGAGAGGUUCCAGCUUCCUGGGAACAUAGGUUUUGAUUGUCACCUCAAUGGGACUGCUUCACAGAAGAAAAGCCUAGUUUCUAACAGAAACUUCAUCAAGUGAAAGACACGAGUUUGUGAUGACACGAUAUGUGAAUGAAUUUCAGGGUAAUGAUGCACCUGUUGAACAAGAAAUUAACAGUGCAGAAACUUAACUUUGAAAGUGCCAGAGUACGGUGUGCAAUACAAACAUGUCCAGAAUUGCAGCGAAAAGAUUUUGAAUCACUGUUUCCAGAAGUAGCUAAUAGCAAAGUAAUCAUUCUGACUGUAACACAGAAAACUAAGAAUGAUAUGACUGUUUAGAGUGAAGAAGUAGAAACUGAAAGAGAAGUGCUCUUAGAAAAGUUCAUCAAUGCUGCUGAGGAAAUUUGCUGUGCUCUUUUAGCUGACGGAUAUUGGGCUGACUUUACUGACCCAUCAUCUGGUUUGGCAUUUUUUGGACCAUAUACAAACAACACUCUUUUUGAAACCCAUGAAUGCUAACAACAUUUAGGAUUCUGUUGAUGACCUUGGAUGCUGUAAAGUGAUUCAUCAUAGUCUCUGGGGUACCCGUGUAGUUGUAGGAAGCAUCUUCACUAAUGCAACACCAGACAGCCAUAUUAUGAAGAAAUUAAAUGGAAAUUAGCAGAAAUGUCCAUUCAUGUGCUGUAUUAUUUGUAUGUAAUAUUUGGGCUGAUCUAUAAAUACUGUCAGACUAAAGCUUUUAAAAUACACUUAUUUCUAAGUAUUUAUUUCAGCAUUUAUGAAUUUACAACAUUGGCAAGUGAUUUGGGAUUUUAAAAUUGCAAAUGUUCAUUAUUCAUAUCAUUGAAUACAUGUUGAGCACAUCCACAUUGUAUAGGAUGUGGUAAUUAGCUUGUAACCAGGGUAUUAUCUGUUAUUGUUAUUUCUCCCCUUUAUUGGAAAAAGUCCUCAGUUUUAAAUACUUUCUUCC